CAAAGUCGCAGAGAGAGAGAGAGUCGAGAUCAUCAGUAUCAGAAAAAUCGGCGAAAAUUUCGGAAAUAAGGUUUGUAUCAUGGAGAAUUUGAGGCAAUAAGCCCUCAAUUUGGUUCAAGGCAUUGUGGUUAAUUUAGGGCCUUUAGAAGAAUUCACCAAUAAUGCAGUCAACGCGGAACAGCUCGAUCGCAUCAUUGAUGUGAUGGAGAUUGUUGGUUUAACUGCCAACAACAUCAUCGAUCAGCAGCACCAGCCACCACCACAACCACUGCCGGGAAAUCAGAAUGUCGAUGAUGAGGCUGAGUCUGGCAUCACCCGCGAAUAACUGUUUAGGAUUCAUAUUAAUGCCUUAUCUGGUUGAUCUCUCUCUCCUGAAAGCUACUGUAUUUUUCUCUCUUUUUUUGGGAAUUGGAUCCGUUGUUUCUAAAGAGGAAGAAGAAAAAAAAACACACUGUUUUUAACGCAUUCACUUAAUUGGGUA